rnacentral:rRNA from 1 species
GCCGCGAAUUCGCCCUUAGGGUUUGAUCAUGGCUCAGAUUGAACGCUGGCGGCAGGCCUAACACAUGCAAGUCGAGCGGUAACAGGAGAAAGCUUGCUUUCUUGCUGACGAGCGGCGGACGGGUGAGUAAUGUAUGGGGAUCUGCCCGAUAGAGGGGGAUAACUACUGGAAACGGUGGCUAAUACCGCAUAAUGUCUACGGACCAAAGCAGGGGCUCUUCGGACCUUGCACUAUCGGAUGAACCCAUAUGGGAUUAGCUAGUAGGUGGGGUAAAGGCUCACCUAGGCGACGAUCUCUAGCUGGUCUGANAGGAUGAUCAGCCACACUGGNACUGAGACACNGCCCA